ACGUAGGAGGCAAACGUUAUCCGGAUUUACUGGGCGUAAAGCGCGUGUAGGUGGUUUGGUAAGUAGAGCGUGAAAGCUCCUGGCUCAACUGGGAGAGGUCGUUGUAAACUGCAGGACUAGAGGAUGGGAGAGGGAGGUGGAAUUCCGGGUGUAGCGGUGAAAUGCGUAGAUAUCCGGAGGAACACCAGUGGCGAAAGCGGCUUUCUGGACCGCUCCUGACACUGAGACGCGAAAGCUAGGGUAGCAAACGG
rnacentral:rRNA from 1 species